GACGAACGCUGGCGGCGUGCCUAAUACAUGCAAGUAGAACGCACAGUUUAUACCGUAGCUUGCUACACCAUAGACUGUGAGUUGCGAACGGGUGAGUAACGCGUAGGUAACCUGCCUGGUAGCGGGGGAUAACUAUUGGAAACGAUAGCUAAUACCGCAUAAUAUUGAUUAUUGCAUGAUAAUUAAUUGAAAGGUGCAAUUGCACCACUACCAGAUGGACCUGCGUUGUAUUAGCUAGUAGGUGAGGUAACGGCUCACCUAGGCGACGAUACAUAGCCGACCUGAGAGGGUGGUCGGCCACACUGGGACUGGGACACGGCCCAGACUCCUACGGGAGGCAGCAGUAGGGAAUCUUCGGCAAUGGACGGAAGGCUGACCGGGCAACGCCGCGUGAGGGAAGAAGGUUUUCGGAUCGUAAAGCUCUGUUGUAAGAGAAGAACGGGUGUGAGAGUGGAAAGUUCACACUGUGACGGUAUCUUACCAGAAAGGGACGGCUAACUACGUG
rnacentral:rRNA from 1 species